rnacentral:lncRNA from 1 species
GACCUAUGAGUUCCUCCAGUCUCCUGAGCCAGGCUCCACAUCCAACAGCUGACCUAUGAGUUCCUCCAGUCCCCAGAGCCAGGCUCCACAUCCAACAGCUGACCUAUGAGUUCCUCCAGUCUCCAGAGCCAGGCUCCACAUCCAACAGCUGACCUAUGAGUUCCUCCAGUCUCCAGAGCCAGGCUCCACAUCCAACAGCUAACCCACACACUGGCAAGUUGGCUCUAACUAGGGUAGCUCUGGUCACAAUACCAGUAUCACUAUACUAUGAUACUCCACUUUCCAAGGCAAAAAGGAAACACGAAACUGUUUUAACUCUUUAAAAACCUGCUUUAUCUAAAAUAUUGUUUUCUGUAGCUUGAAAAACAAACAAAUGUGACUCUGGGUGACAACAUAAUGCUGCUUGUUUGUAUCCAACAUUAGGACUUCUGAGUAUAGCGAUUCUGCUAUUGAGACACUACUAGGGAGUUGGUAGACAAUGCCUCUAACUACUGGUCUGGGGUCAGACAUUGUUUGAUGGGUAAUCUGAUCCUAGAUCUGUGGCUUAGAGGAAACUUCUACUCAGAGCUGAUCUGACGUCCUGUUUUUAACCACACUGGUUGUUUUGUUGUCUGACUCUGCUCUCAACACCCUGGGGACAACGAGAGUGAACCUCAGACAUGUUGUGAAAGGUCAUCAUGAUUGUACAGAUUAUUUGUAUGUGCGCUAUACUUAAGAGAAUAAAGUCGCCACAGGUUGUGUUUUUACACAGUACUGUGUCAUCAGGUUGUGUUUUUACACAGUACUGUGUCAUCAGGUUGUGUUUUUACACAGUACCGUGUCAUCAGGUUGUGUUUUUACACAGUACUGUGUCAUCAGGUUGUGUUUUUACACAGUACCGUGUCAUCAGGUUGUGUUUUUACACAGUACUGU